GACGAACGCUGGCGGCGUGCUUAACACAUGCAAGUCGAACGGAAAGGCCCUGCUUGCCGGGUACUCGCGUGGCGAACGGGUGAGUAACACGUGGGUGAUCUGCCCUGCACUUCGGGAUAAGCCUGGGAAACUGGGUCUAAUACCGGAUAGGAGCCAUUUUUAGUGUGAUGGUUGGAAAGUUUUUUCGGUGUAGGAUGAGCUCGCGGCCUAUCAGCUUGUUGGUGGGGUAAUGGCCUACCAAGGCGGCGACGGGUAGCCGGCCUGGGAGGGUGGACGGCCACAUUGGGACUGAGAUACGGCCCAGACUCCUACGGGGGGCAGCAGUGGGGAAUAUUGCACAAUGGGCGCAAGCCUGAUGCAGCGACGCCGCGUGGGGGAUGACGGCCUUCGGGUUGUAAACUCCUUUCGCUAGGGACGAAGCUGUUUGUGACGGUACCUAGAUAAGAAGCACCGGCUAACUACGUG
rnacentral:rRNA from 1 species